rnacentral:rRNA from 1 species
AUGAAAUUGGAGUUUAAAUUCUUUUCUGUAGACAAUUCAUUCUUCCAGCCUACUGCUGGUAAUGGAUCAAUAAUGAUUAUUCUCCUAGGUUGGCAACCAGGACACCAGAGUGAAAGUGACAUUGGAAUUUAUGCUGGUUGGGGUGCAAAAGAAUGCACAACACUCCCGUUGAUGCACCAAGCUUCACGUUUUGGAGGGGCACCUCUUGCUCUUGGUGUCCUUAUUCGUGUAUUCCUGUACAAGUGUGAGUUACGUGCAAUAGCUUGUGGCCCUUUACAGAGUAGGAUGCCCCUUGGCGCUGUGACAAAAGCAAGGCCAGACUUGUUCUUGGCUCUGUAUGUUGUGGGGGUUCUCUGA